UACGUAGGGGGCAAGCGUUGUCCGGAAUCAUUGGGCGUAAAGCGCGUGUAGGCGGCCCGGUAAGUCCGCUGUGAAAGUCCAGGGCUCAACCCUGGGAUGCCGGUGGAUACUGUCGGGCUCGAGUCCGGAAGAGGAGUGUGGAAUUCCUGGUGUAGCGGUGAAAUGCGUAGAGAUGUGGAGGAACACCAAUGGCGAAGGCAGCCUUCUGGGCCAACACUGACGCUCAUGCACGAAAGCGUGGGGAGCAAACAGG
rnacentral:rRNA from 1 species